UUAGAAUUGACGGGGACCCGCACAAGUGGUGGAGCAUGUGGUUAAUUCGAUGAUACGCGAGGAACCUUACCUGGGCUUAAAUGUAGAGUGCAUUUUCUAGAGAUAGGGAAUUCCCUUCGGGGCUUUCUGCAAGGUGCUGCAUGGUUGUCGUCAGCUCGUGCCGUGAGGUGUCGGGUUAAGUCCCAUAACGAGCGCAACCCUUAUCGUUAGUUGCCAUCUGGUAAAGCAGGGGACUCUAGCGAAACUGCCACCGUAAGGUGAGAGGAAGGUGGGGAUGACGUCAAAUCAGCACGGCCCUUAUGUCCAGGGCUACACACGUGUUACAAUGGCCGGUACAGAGGGCAGCUACCUGGUGACAGGAUGCUAAUCUCGAAAACCGGUCUCAGUUCGGAUCGAAGUCUGCAACUCGACUUCGUGAAGCUGGAUUCGCUAGUAAUCGCGCAUCAGCCAUGGCGCGGUGAAUACGUUCCCGGGCCUU
rnacentral:rRNA from 1 species